rnacentral:tRNA from 1 species
UGCUUGGAUAGCUCAGUUGGUAGAGCCUUGCCCGCGGGAGGCAAAGGUCCCGAGUUCGAGUCUCGGUCCGGCAC